GCAUUUCCUCAGUUUAUAUACUAAAAUUGGAACGUUGCAGAAAACAAAAGUUUACCUCUUGCGCACGGAUGAUAUGCAAAAUCGUGAUGCAUUUCACUUUUUU